rnacentral:rRNA from 1 species
CCUACGGGAGGCAGCAGUGGGGAAUAUUGCACAAUGGGCGAAAGCCUGAUGCAGCAACGCCGCGUGAGGGACGACGGCCUUCGGGUUGUAAACCUCUUUUGGCAGGGAAGAAGCGAAAGUGACGGUACCUGCAGAAAAAGCACCGGCUAACUACGUGCCAGCAGCCGCGGUAAUACGUAGGGUGCAAGCGUUGUCCGGAAUUAUUGGGCGUAAAGAGCUCGUAGGCGGUUUGUCGCGUCUGCUGUGAAAACGCAAGGCUCAACCUUGCGCCUGCAGUGGGUACGGGCAGACUAGAGUGUGGUAGGGGAGAUUGGAAUUCCUGGUGUAGCGGUGGAAUGCGCAGAUAUCAGGAGGAACACCGAUGGCGAAGGCAGAUCUCUGGGCCAUUACUGACGCUGAGGAGCGAAAGCGUGGGGAGCGAACAGGAUUAGAUACCCUGGUAGUCCACGCCGUAAACGUUGGGAACUAGAUGUGGGGUCCAUUCCACGGAUUCCGUGUCGCAGCUAACGCAUUAAGUUCCCCGCCUGGGGAGUACGGCCGCAAGGCUAAAACUUAAAUGAAUUGACGG